AUUGAACGCUGGCGGCAUGCUUUACACAUGCAAGUCGAGCGGCAGCGCGGGGGCAACCCUGGCGGCGAGCGGCGAACGGGUGAGUAAUGCAUCGGAACGUAUCCCGGAGUGGGGGGAUAACCUAUCGAAAGGUGGGCUAAUACCGCAUGAGCUCUGAGGAGGAAAGCGGGGGGACCGAAAGGCCUCGCGCUGUGGGAGCGGCCGAUGUCCGAUUAGCUAGUUGGUGGGGUAAAGGCCUACCAAGGCGACGAUCGGUAGCUGGUCUGAGAGGAUGAUCAGCCACACUGGGACUGAGACACGGCCCAGACUCCUACGGGAGGCAGCAGUGGGGAAUUUUGGACAAUGGGGGCAACCCUGAUCCAGCCAUGCCGCGUGAGUGAAGAAGGCCUCGGUUGUAAGCUCUUUCGGACGGAACGAAAUCGCUCGGGUGAAUAAUCCGGGUGGAUGACGGUACUGUAAGAAGAAGCACCGGCUAACUACGUGCCAGCAGCCGCGGUAAU
rnacentral:rRNA from 1 species